rnacentral:rRNA from 1 species
AUUGAACGCUGGCGGAAUGCUCUACACAUGCAAGUCGAACGGCAGCACGGGGGCAACCCUGGUGGCGAGUGGCGAACGGGUGAGUAAUACAUCGGAACGUGCCCAGUCGUGGGGGAUAACGUAGCGAAAGCUACGCUAAUACCGCAUACGAUCUACGGAUGAAAGCGGGGGAUCGCAAGACCUCGCGCGAUUGGAGCGGCCGAUGGCAGAUUAGGUAGUUGGUGGGGUAAAGGCUCACCAAGCCGACGAUCUGUAGCUGGUCUGAGAGGACGACCAGCCACACUGGGACUGAGACACGGCCCAGACUCCUACGGGAGGCAGCAGUGGGGAAUUUUGGACAAUGGGCGCAAGCCUGAUCCAGCCAUUCCGCGUGCAGGAUGAAGGCCUUC